rnacentral:rRNA from 1 species
AACUCAAAAACUUAGUCUCAGUUCGGAUUGUAGGCUGAAAACUACGCCUACCAUGAAGCUGGAGUUGCUAGUAAUCGCGAAUCAGCAUGUCGCGGUGAAUACGUUCCCGGGCCUUGUACACACCGCCCGUCACACCAUGAGAGUUGGCAAUACCCAACGUACGUGAUCUAACCCGCAAGGGAGGAAGCGUCCUAAGGUAGGGUCAGCGAUUGGGGUGAAGUCGUAACAAGGUAGC